UACGGAGGGUGCGAGCGUUAAUCGGAAUUACUGGGCGUAAAGCGCGCGUAGGCGGUUUGAUGAGUCCGUCGUGAAAGCCCUGGGCUUAACCUGGGAAUUGCGGUGGAUACUGUCAAGCUAGAGUGUGGUAGAGGGGAGUGGAAUUUCCGGUGUAGCAGUGAAAUGCGUAGAGAUCGGAAGGAACACCAGUGGCGAAGGCGGCUCCCUGGACCAACACUGACGCUGAGGUGCGAAAGCGUGGGGAGCAAACAGG
rnacentral:rRNA from 1 species